GUCCAACUGAUGAGUCCCAAAUAGGAUUAAACGCACGUCUUGGAU
rnacentral:hammerhead_ribozyme from 1 species